rnacentral:tRNA from 1 species
AUCUACAGUGGCAGACAAAUGCGUUAGGUUUAAACCCUAAUAAUGAGAUUUUCCUCCUUAGAUA